GACGAAGGAUGCAAGCGUUAUCCGGAUUCAUUGGGUUUAAAGGGAGCGUAGGUGGCCUUAUAAGUCAGUGGUGAAAUCUCUCGGCUUAACCGAGAAAUUGCCAUUGAUACUGUAGGGCUUGAGUAUAGUUGCCGUUGGCGGAAUAUGACAUGUAGUGGUGAAAUACAUAGAGAUGUCAUAGAACACCGAUUGCGAAGGCAGCUGACGAGACUAUAACUGACACUCAGGCUCGAAAGUGCGGGGAUCAAACGGG
rnacentral:rRNA from 1 species